rnacentral:rRNA from 1 species
AGGACGAACGCUGGCGGCGUGCUUAACACAUGCAAGUCGAGCGGAAAGGCCCUUCGGGGUACUCGAGCGGCGAACGGGUGAGUAACACGUGAGUAAUCUGCCCCUAGCUCUGGGAUAGCUCCGGGAAACCGGGAUUAAUACUGGAUACGACCACCUUAGACAUCUUUUGUGGUGGAAAGAAUUUCGGCUAGGGAUGAGCUCGCGGCCUAUCAGCUUGUUGGUGGGGUAACGGCCUACCAAGGCGACGACGGGUAGCCGGCCUGAGAGGGCGACCGGCCACACUGGGACUGAGACACGGCCCAGACUCCUACGGGAGGCAGCAGUGGGGAAUAUUGCGCAAUGGGCGAAAGCCUGACGCAGCGACGCCGCGUGGGGGAUGAAGGCCUUCGGGUUGUAAACCCUUUCAGCAGGGACGAAGCGAAAGUGACGGUACCUGCAGAAGAAGCGCCGGCACUACGCGCCAGCAGCCGC